AUCCGCUCACCAUUUGUAACUCUCUCUCUCUCUCUCUCUCUCUCUCUCUCUCUCUCUCUUAACACAAACCUAAAAACUCUCCUUUCGUC
rnacentral:sRNA from 1 species